GUCAGGUGGCUGCUUUGUGAAGAAGAGAGUGCUCUGCUCUGAGGAACUGCCCAUGAGAAAACAAAAAGAAGGCAUUUGCAGGGAGAGGAUACCCAGUCCAAGAAACCUCAAUAUGUUGGAAGGGGUCUGUGUUUUCUGGUGAAAAAUAAAACAGAUGCUGCGACUCCACGUUAUCAUGGAGAGAUCCUUCUGCAUGCUCAGGAAAAGGAAUCUGUUGUUUUUCACAGCUUCUGAAGUGGGGAACAAGUUCUGCCUUCAUUUUACACCAAGUUAAGUAAAAGAUCACAGAAAUGAAGACCUGGUUUCCCUACCCACUUCUGGAGGCUGGGUACUGUCCUGCAAAACUUGCUUCCUCAGCAGAAAGAGGUUCUCCAAGAAAGCACUGCCCUAAAUUCUGCAGUUCACCAUUUGAAACAGGCAGCCAGAUGAUAUCACUAGUAUGAUAUGUGUUGAAUUACAGCCCUGCCUUCCACAGCGAGGCAAUUUUAGUAAAGAACUUGCACCUAUGAUGAAACUUUUGAAAUGUGCUUAAAGAAGGGAUGGAUCAAAAGCUUCAUAGUUAUUCUUAUAUGAAUGUUUUAAAUGUUUGCCCACGGGAAUGCAGCUUCUUGAAAGAAAAGAGUUAGACAGCUCUGGCUGAUUUUAGUUCUGAGACAGCAACAGAGACAGAGAAGAAGAAAUGCAGGGAUUGCUCUCUUCAGUCUGGGGGGGCACCUGGCACAGCCUUGUGCUCUUGGCUUAAGGACCUUCUGCUGCUGUGUCUGGGCAGCUGCAGAGCACAUGCCCAGGGCCUUCGGUUCUGCCUGCUGCCCAGACAGAACAACAAGGUGCUACAGAACUUAACUACGCUUUCUUCUACACUCCUCUCUUUCCUAAAGGCCAUCCAAGAGGGAAGAUAAUAACAUUUCUACCUUUCUUUGUGCUACCUUAAUUUUUGUACAGCUUGCCUACAGCAGCAUCUUGUUCAGGUGGGAUAGGCUAUUGACACAUUUUUUUGAUUGUAUUCUCUUUCUGCAUCAAAAUAUGGAUUUAUGAUGAAAUUUUCUUUGUGGGAACAACAUAAAGAUCAUUAAUGACAAAGUCACAGAAAGAAAAGUUUUUAUGAUAGGUCCUUGCUUCCUUUCUUGAAUUCUUAAGACUUAAAUUUCCAACAAUGUUUCCUACAUUUGCUUCUAUCACUAUUUUCCUUCAGCGUGCGCCUUUUGUCACAUCAUUUGUUACAGACUUCUCUCUCCCUCUCUCUCUUUUUAAAACCAUCCCUUCACUUUCCUCCUUUUUGUCUCCCAGAUCAUGAGUAUCACAGUCCCUGGACAGGUUUGCUGGGUUGACAGCUCUGAAUAUAUUACACAACAUAUUUGUCUUUUCUAAAGCACUGAUGCAAGCUUUGCCCUGACUUCUGCUGCAGUGAAUUUUCCAUACUGUUUGUCAGUGGUUUUUGUUACUAGCACCACUGAAUUUUUGACCUUGGAUUCCAUCCAUUGUUCAUAAUUUUGAGAGCAUGCAGGUCUCAUGGCUAAAGAAAUUAUUCGUCUGUUUUUUUCUCUAAUGCAUUUGUUGCCUUGGUACUUCCUAUUUAGUAAAGAAUAUUACUUGAACUCAUGAAUGAGGAAGAUUUCAGCACACAUGCUAACAGAAUAUUCUGUCUGUGCAUAAGUGAGUAAAAACCCAGCAUAGUGAAACCCAUGUUUUCAGUAAUGAUGUUUAUAGGUAGCUCCAACAUAUGCAGUGGCUGUCUAUAUAUAGACACUGAACAGCACAUUGAAAUGCCAUGAAAAAAUUGGGAGGUUUCAUCUCACUGCAUAAAUAAGUACAGUAAAUCCAGGCCAAGUACAAGUGAUUUCUUGUCAAAUGCAGAAUUAGUUCCUGUGAAUACUAUGAGGAGCCUGUAACUAACAUGCAUUAUUCUCUGAAUCUGUGAUCAUUUAAUCAAUAAAUGGUAAAAACAAUCUCAAAAUAUAAAAGAAAUUGCAGUGAA